rnacentral:antisense_RNA from 1 species
CGGUACGACAUUGCUCACAUUGCUUCCAGUAUUUUUGCCCGCACUUGUGCGGGCUUUUUUUU